GAUGAACGCUGGCGGCGUGCCUAAUACAUGCAAGUCGAGCGAACAGAUCAUGAGCUUGCUCCUUUCUCGUUUGCGGCGGACGGGUGUGACACACGAGUGUACCCUACCUAUCAUACUGGGAUCACUUCGGGAAAGCGGAGCUAAUAGCGUAUAACCUCUUGAACCGCAUGGUUCUAAAGUGAAAGUUGGUGUUGCUAUCUGUACUCGCUGCACAUGGGCCGUAUUAGCUAGUUGGUCAGGUAAAGGCUUACGAAGGCUACGAUUCGUAGCCGACCGGACGGGGUGAUCGGCCGCAUUGGAACGGAGCCACGGUCCAGAGUCCUACGGGAGGCAGCAGUAGGGUAUCUUCCGCAAUGGGCGAAAGCCUGACGGAGCAACGCCGCGUGAGUGAUGAAGGGUUUCGGCUCGUAAAACUCGGUUAUUAGGGAAGAACAAAUGUGUACGUUACUGUGCACGGCUUGACGGUACCUAAUCAGAAAGCCACGGCUAACUACGUG
rnacentral:rRNA from 1 species